rnacentral:rRNA from 1 species
AACGAACGCUGGCGGCAUGCCUAACACAUGCAAGUCGAACGAAGCCUUCGGGCUUAGUGGCGCACGGGUGCGUAACGCGUGGGAACCUACCAUCAGGUUCGGAAUAACAGUUAGAAAUGACUGCUAAUACCGGAUAAUGUCUUCGGACCAAAGAUUUAUCGCCUUUUGAUGGGCCCGCGUUGGAUUAGCUAGUUGGUGGGUAAAGGCCUACCAAGGCGACGAUCCAUAGCUGGUCUGAGAGGAUGAUCAGCCACACUGGGACUGAGACACGGCCCAGACUCCUACGGGAGGCAGCAGUGGGGAAGUAUUGGACAAUGGGCGAAAGACCUGAUCCAGCAAUGCCGCGUGAGUGAUGAAGGCCUUAGGGUUGUAAAGCUCUUUUACCUAGGGAG